rnacentral:rRNA from 1 species
GGUGAACGCUGGCGGCGUGCCUAAUACAUGCAAGUCGAGCGAACAGACGAGGAGCUUGCUCCUCUGACGUUAGCGGCGGACGGGUGAGUAACACGUGGAUAACCUACCUAUAAGACUGGGAUAACUUCGGGAAACCGGAGCUAAUACCGGAUAAUAUAUUGAACCGCAUGGUUCAAUAGUGAAAGACGGUUUUGCUGUCACUUAUAGAUGGAUCCGCGCCGCAUUAGCUAGUUGGCAAGGUAACGGCUUACCAAGGCAACGAUGCGUAGCCGACCUGAGAGGGUGAUCGGCCACACUGGAACUGAGACACGGUCCAGACUCCUACGGGAGGCAGCAGUAGGGAAUCUUCCGCAAUGGGCGAAAGCCUGACGGAGCAACGCCGCGUGAGUGAUGAAGGUCUUCGGAUCGUAAAACUCUGUUAUUAGGGAAGAACAAAUGUGUAAGUAACUAUGCACGUCUUGACGGUACCUAAUCAGAAAGCCACGGCUAACUACGUG